AGUGAACGCUGGCGGUAGGCCUAACACAUGCAAGUCGAACGGCAGCACAGUAAGAGCUUGCUCUUACGGGUGGCGAGUGGCGGACGGGUGAGGAAUACAUCGGACUCUACUUUUUCGUGGGGGAUAACGUAGGGAAACUUACGCUAAUACCGCAUACGACCUACGGGUGAAAGCAGGGGAUCUUCGGACCUUGCGCGAUUGAAUGAGCCGAUGUCGGAUUAGCUAGUUGGCGGGGUAAAGGCCCACCAAGGCGACGAUCCGUAGCUGGUCUGAGAGGAUGAACAGCCACACUGGAACUGAGACAGGGUCCAGACACCUACGGGAGGCAGCAGUGGGGAAUAUUGGACAAUGGGCGCAAGCCUGAUCCAGCCAUACCGCGUGGGUGAAGAAGGCCUUCGGGUUGUAAAGCCCUUUUGUUGGGAAAGAAAAGCAGCAGGUUAAUACCCCGCUGUUAUGACGGUACCCAAAGAAUAAGCACCGGCUAACUUCGUG
rnacentral:rRNA from 1 species